UUCCUCAGCAUCCUGAUAGUGAUAGAUC
rnacentral:piRNA from 1 species